UACGGAGGAUCCAAGCGUUAUCCGGAUUUAUUGGGUUUAAAGGGUGCGUAGGCGGAAUUGUAAGUCAGUGGUGAAAGCCCUUCGCUUAACGAAGGAACUGCCAUUGAUACUGCAAAUCUUGAGUACAUUUGAUGUGGGCGGAAUGUGUCAUGUAGCGGUGAAAUGCUUAGAUAUGACACAGAACACCGAUUGCGAAGGCAGCUCACAAAACUGUAACUGACGCUGAGGCACGAAAGCGUGGGUAUCAAACAGG
rnacentral:rRNA from 3 species